rnacentral:rRNA from 1 species
UACGUAGGGUGCAAGCGUUAAUCGGAAUUACUGGGCGUAAAGCGUGCGCAGGCGGUUCUAUAAGACAGAUGUGAAAUCCCCGGGCUCAACCUGGGAACUGCAUUUGUGACUGUAGAGCUGGAGUGCGGCAGAGGGGGAUGGAAUUCCGCGUGUAGCAGUGAAAUGCGUAGAUAUGCGGAGGAACACCGAUGGCGAAGGCAAUCCCCUGGGCCUGCACUGGCGCUCAUGCACGAAAGCGUGGGGAGCAAACAGG